AUGUGUGAGCUCAGCAUCAAGGUAGACAGUUCUGACAGGGUUCAUACAUCAAAGGACACAGUAUUAUCUCACUCUGUUCCCCAGGAACUUUGCUUCUUUUUUAAUGCUAAUGGGUUUGCCCAGGGUCUGCUGAGGAAGGAGGGCUGCAGUAACAGUCCUGAAGAUUCACCGGGACCCCACAGAAGCAGCAAAUCUUUUCAGGGCACUGAACGUCCUCAGGGAAGGCCUUAUCAGUAUGAAAGUUUUCAAGCCAUCCCCCUGAACAUGGAGGCACUGUCUGCUCGAGAUGUCAUGUGGUGGCUACCCUGGCCUUGAGGAGCCCACUCCUCGGACUUGGCCUGCAGGGUGACAAGGGCCCCGAGCCAUCCCUUCUGCCCUCUGAUCAGGAGCUGCUGGCCUGACGUGUCUGAGCCGAGGAAGGCUAAUUCCUUCUGAUUCAGGUAUCAGUUCUUUGAUGAUUCAUUUUCAAGUGGCUCCUGGGAAUGAUUUCAGAAGUUCUAUAAACUUUGCUUUGUAAAACUAAAAUUGCUUUCUGAGGCCAAUUUCAUGUCCAACAAUGGAAAAGAUGAGUCAUCACAGCUCAGGCUCCCUUGGAGCAGGGAAAUAGAAGGAUCCUUGGAUCCUUCUAUUUACCCCAAAGCAACAGCCUAUAACAGUUUAUCAUUACAAGUCUUAUAUAUUCACUAAGUCUCAGUGUAAAAUAUGUACAGUUAGCAGAAUACAUAUGCAUAUAUGUGUACUCCAUAUGGAAGCAAUGGAAGAGUAAAAGAUUCAAAGAAAUGAAGAUAAAAAUAGUGGAAUAGUGGAACAUAUUUUCUUAUGGUUCAAAUUUCUUUUUCUCUUUUCUUUCCUUUUUUCUUUUUGGCUGCACCCCCAGCAUGCAGGAAGUUCCCAGGCCAGGGUUUGAACCUGUGCCACAGUAGCGACCCAAGCCACACCCGUGACAAUGCUGGAUCCUUAACCCAAUGAGCCAUAGCACUCCUCUACGGUUCAGAUUUCUGAUUUUAAUUAUAGAUUCACAUUUGAAGUUAUUUGAGAAUUGGCAUGCCACCAAUUAUUGAAAAGCCCACCACCCAAUUUUUUUUUUCUCCCACCAUCCAAUUUUCUAAAGAGAAAUAGCGUUUGAAAUAUUUUAAAUCAUUCUCUUUUAUUUCUUUGUUUUUGGGGGUUUUGUUUUAUUUUAUUUUCCUGGGUUUUUUUGUUCGCUUUCUUUUUGUUUUGUUGUUGUUGUUAUUUUUGACCCUGUCCAAAGCAUGUUGAAGUUACCGGCCCAGGGAUGGAAGCUAAGCCAUAGCAGCAACUCAAGCCACUGCGG
rnacentral:lncRNA from 1 species